CCUACGGGGGGGCAGCAGUGGGGAAUAUUGCACAAUGGGCGCAAGCCUGAUGCAGCGACGCCGCGUGGGGGAUGACGGCCUUCGGGUUGUAAACCUCUUUCAGUGUCGACGAAGCGUAAGUGACGGUAGGCACAGAAGAAGCACCGGCCAACUACGUGCCCGAG
rnacentral:rRNA from 1 species